UCCAUCUUGCGCUUGAAGAGCUCCAGGAAGCUGCCGUCGUUGGCGAACACGUUGACGCCGCCGCCCGGGCCCGGGGGGGGCGGCGAAGGCGCCUCCGGGGCCUCCCGGUCCUCACCGCGCGCCGCCAUCUUGUCCGCCGCCACCGCCGCCGGCGCCGCCCGAUGACGUCAGAGCGACCGCCGCGGCCGCGGCGGCGCGGUUUUGUUACGUCAGCGAGAUUUCCCCCCCCCUCCUCCGCUGGCGGGGCGGCGUUGCCCGGCAACGCGCGGGGCUCCCGCCGCUUCGCCCCGCCCCCGGCGAGGAUUGACGGGCGAAUCCACCAAUGGGAAGCGAAAGAAGGGAGGGCGCGGCUGCGCGCGGACCAAUCAGCGCGCGGCGGGCGGCGGCGCGGGGAAGAUGGCGGCAGCGGCGGCGGGCGGGUGGGCGGCCGAGGCCCCGGAGGAGUUCGAGGACGCGCCGGACGUGGAGCCGCUGGAACCGACGCUGGCGAACAUCAUCGAGCAGCGCAGCCUCAAGUGGAUCUUCGUGGGCGGCAAGGGCGGCGUGGGCAAGACCACGUGCAGCUGCAGCCUGGCCGUGCAGCUGUCCCGGGUCCGGGGAGGGAUCACCGGGAGGGAUCACGGUCCCGGUCCCGGUCCCGCUGAGUCCCCGGUACCGAUCCCAGCUGCAGCCUGGCUGUGCAGCUGUCCCGGGUCCGGGGAGGGCUCACCGGGGGGAUCACCGGGGGGAUCACCGGCUCUGGGAAGGUGUCCCGGUCCCGGUCCCGGUCCCGCUGAGUCCCCGGUACCGUUCCCAGUUGCAGCCUGGCCGUGCAGCUGUCCCGGGUCCGGGGAGGGAUCACCGGGGGUAUCACCGGGAGGGAUCACCGUGUCCCGGUCCCGGUCCCGGUCCUGCUGAGCCCCCGGUACCGUUCCCGUUCCCAGUUGCAGCCUGGCCGUGCAGCUGUCCCGGGCCCGGGGAGGGAUCACCGGGGGUGUCACUGGGGGUAUCACCGGGGGUAUCACCGUGUCCUGGUCCCGGUCCCGGUCCCGCUGAACCCCCGGUACCGUUCCCGUUCCCAGUUGCAGCCUGGCCGUGCAGCUGUCCCGGGUCUGGGGAGGGAUCACCGGGGGGAUCACCGGCUCCGGGGAGGGAUCACCGGGGGGAUCACCGUGUCCCGGUCCCGGUCCUGCUGAGCCCCCGGUACCGUUCCCGUUCCCAGUUGCAGCCUGGCCGUGCAGCUGUCCCGGGUCCGGGGAGGGCUCACCGGGGGUGUCACCGGGGGUAUCACCGGGAGGGAUCACCGUGUCCCGGUCCCGGUCCCGGUCCCGCUGAGCCCCCGGUACCGUUGCCGUUCCCAGUUGCAGCCUGGCCGUGCAGCUGUCCCGGGCCCGGGGAGGGAUCACCGAGGGGAUCACCGGGGGGAUCACCGGCUCCGGGGAGGGAUCACCGGGGGGAUCACUGUGUCCCGGUCCCGCUGAGUCCCCGGUACCGUUCCCAGUUGCAGCCUGGCCGUGCAGCUGUCCCGGGUCCGGGGAGGGCUCACCGGGGGGAUCACCGGGGGGAUCACCGGC
ensembl:lncRNA